rnacentral:rRNA from 1 species
GGUCCGCACUGGUGUGAUGGAUUCCCACCUUCUGAAUAACCAGCAUGCCAUUAAUUUGGUGCGUUGGGGAAGCAGGACUGUUACCUUGAAAAAAUUAGAGUGCUUAAAGCAGGCUAGUGCCUGAAUACAUUAGCAUGGAAUAAUGAAAUAGGACGGCAUGGUUCUAUUUUGUUGGUUUCUAGGAUCACCGUAAUGAUUAAUAGGGAUAGUUGGGGGCAUUAGUAUUCAAUUGUCAGAGGUGAAAUUCUUGGAUUUAUUGAAGACUAACUUCUGCGAAAGCAUUUGCCAAGGAUGUUUUCAUUAAUCAAGAACGAAAGUUAGGGGAUCGAAGACGAUCAGAUACCGUCGUAGUCUUAACCAUAAACUAUGCCGACUAGGGAUCGGACGAUGUUAAUUUUUUAAUGACUCGUUCGGCGCCUUACG